GUUUACUCCUGAGGUGCUGAGCGUUGCCACGGGUGAGUAACGCAUCGGGAAAUGCCCAAUCGAGCGCGAUAACAGUUGGAAACGACUGCUAAUACCGCAUACGCCCUACGGGGGAAAGGAGGGCACCUUCGGGCCUUCCGCUAUUGGAUGAACCUAGGUGGGCUUAGCUAGUUGGGGAGGUAAUGCCUCACCGAGGCGACGAUCCCUAGCUGUUCUGAAAGGAUGAUCACCCACACUGAUACUGACAGUGAUCCCAAACUCCCGCGUGGGCCACAGAGGGGGGGAUAUUGCCGGAUGGGGCUACCCUAGAUUCCCCCAUCCCGCGUGGGUGGAGAAGGGCUUCCUAUUGGACUGCACUUUUCGAGAUAGAGGACUGGCAGUAAACUUACUCCGUUAUAUCUGCGGCGUUGCCUAAAGAAAGCGGAGCCGCUGACUUCGUUCCAUAAAGCUCGGAAAAACCGAAGGGUCCAGUCUUAAUCGAAAUUCCUGCACACUGUUCUUGAACGAGACGGUUGAUAGGCGAAGAAGUAGAACCCCGGGAGCUCAUUUAAUGAAAAUACGUUUAGAAACUACUCACAUAUACUCU
rnacentral:rRNA from 1 species